rnacentral:rRNA from 1 species
GACCCCGCACAAGCGGCGGAGCAUGCGGCUUAAUUCGAUGAUACCCGUAGAACCUUACCUACUCUUGACAUCCAGAGAAGCCAGCGGAGACGCAGGUGUGCCUUCGGGAGCUCUGAGACAGGUGCUGCAUGGCUGUCGUCAGCUCGUGUUGUGAAAUGUUGGGUUAAGUCCCGCAACGAGCGCAACCCUUAUCCUUGUUUGCCAGCACGUAAUGGUGGGAACUCCAGGGAGACUGCCGGUGAUAAACCGGAGGAAGGUGGGGACGACGUCAAGUCAUCAUGGCCCUUACGAGUAGGGCUACACACGUGCUACAAUGGCGCAUACAGAGGGCAGCAAGCUAGCGAUAGUGAGCGAAUCCCAAAAAGUGCGUCGUAGUCCGGAUUGGAGUCUGCAACUCGACUCCAUGAAGUCGGAAUCGCUAGUAAUCG